AGAGUCUUGACCUACAAAAGGUGCAGCUAAUAAUUGACUGUCAAAAAGAGGCACCCAGGCAUCGGAGGCACUGAGAUCAAGGUCUGCAUGGCACAAAAGUUAAGAGAUCUGAGGAGACGAGCAGAAAGGAUGCCUGCUGAAGGAGACACAAAGGACUGAGACAAUGCACUUUUACAAAAGCAC